rnacentral:misc_RNA from 1 species
CUCGUUAGCAUAACUAUUAGCAUUAGAACAUUUGUCCAUUAAGUGAUAACGAAUUAAAGCUCAGGGAACAAACAAAAAUUUAACCGCAGGCCUCUGUGUAUCAAAACACAAAAUCUCAUGAUACUUCUUUGUUCUGUCCCUACUUUUUAUAUUUACUUGAUGUUAUUUUGCAUAUGGAUUGAUAUAACAUUGACUAUUAGUUAUGGUGUAUAAUUGUAUUAUAAUAUACUCAUUUAAAUUGAAAGCAACAAGAAAAGGACUAAGACAAGGGCUAGAUAGGCACUAUGACCGUUUCAAUUGAAAAUAACACCGAAGCAAUCAAGAGAAAAGAGAAUUUCACCAAAAAUAGAU